GUGGCUCAGUUGGUAAAGCGCUCGUCUAGAAUACAAGAGUCCUGGGUACAAAUCCCAGC
rnacentral:tRNA from 1 species